rnacentral:rRNA from 1 species
GUCUCCUUGGAAGUGGAAGAUAGGGAGUCCAACCUGCCCUAUGAUGUAAAAUAAAUCAUUAAAUGGCCGCGGUACUUUGACCGUGCGAAGGUAGCGUAAUAAUUUGUCUAUUAAUUGUAGACUGGAAUGAAUGGUUAGAUGAGGAAAAAGCUGUCUCUUUUUAUAUUUAUAGAAAUUGACAUUUAGGUUAAAAGGCCUAAAUAAAACACAUAGACGAGAAGACCCUAUUUGAGCUUUAUUAUGUUGUUGGUCGAAGAGGCGGUAGCUGUAAUUUGGUUGGGGCGACAGAAGAACAUGAAAAGCUUCUUUUGAGUUUAGGAAAUGAACGGUGAUCCGAUAGAUGUCGAUAGAAGGAAUUAGUUACCGUAGGGAUAACAGCAUUAUUUUUCUUAAGAGCUCCUAUCGAAAGAAAAUUUUGUGACCUCGAUGUUGGACUAGGGUAUCCUGAGGGAGCAGCCACUCUCAAGGGUUGGUCUGUUCGACCAUAAAAAUCCU